GGGCUCGCAGGCGGUUUCUUAAGUCUGAUGUGAAAGCCCCCGGCUCAACCGGGGAGGGUCAUUGGAAACUGGGAAACUUGAGUGCAGAAGAGGAGAGUGGAAUUCCACGUGUAGCGGUGAAAUGCGUAGAGAUGUGGAGGAACACCAGUGGCGAAGGCGACUCUCUGGUCUGUAACUGACGCUGAGGAGCGAAAGCGUGGGGAGCGAACAGGAUUAGAUACCCUGGUAGUCCACGCCGUAAACGAUGAGUGCUAAGUGUUAGGGGGUUUCCGCCCCUUAGUGCUGCAGCUAACGCAUUAAGCACUCCGCCUGGGGAGUACGGUCGCAAGACUGAAACUCAAAGGAAUUGACGGGGGCCCGCACAAGCGGUGGAGCAUGUGGUUUAAUUCGAAGCAACGCGAAGAACCUUACCAGGUCUUGACAUCCUCUGACAACCCUAGAGAUAGGGCUUUCCCUUCGGGGACAGAGUGACAGGUGGUGCAUGGUUGUCGUCAGCUCGUGUCGUGAGAUGUUGGGUUAAGUCCCGCAACGAGCGCAACCCUUGAUCUUAGUUGCCAGCAUUCAGUUGGGCACUCUAAGGUGACUGCCGGUGACAAACCGGAGGAAGGUGGGGAUGACGUCAAAUCAUCAUGCCCCUUAUGACCUGAGCUACACACGUGCUACAAUGGACAG
rnacentral:rRNA from 1 species